rnacentral:rRNA from 1 species
UACGGAGGAUGCAAGCGUUAUCCGGAAUUAUUGGGCGUAAAGCGUCCGCAGGUGGCACUUCAAGUCUGCUGUCAAAGACCGGGGCUUAACCCUGGAAAGGCAGUGGAAACUGAAGCGCUAGAGUGUGGCAGGGGUAGAGGGAAUUCCCGGUGUAGCGGUGAAAUGCGUAGAGAUCGGGAAGAACAUCGGUGGCGAAGGCGGCUCUCUGGGACGGUACUGACGCUGAGGAGCGAAAGCGUGGGGAGCGAACAGG